rnacentral:rRNA from 1 species
GACGAACCACACGAACGUUAUUCGGAAUUACUGGGCUUAAAGGGUGCGCAGGCGGCCUGACAAGUUGGGUGUGAAAUACCUCGGCUUAACCGAGGAAUGGCGCUCAAAACUGUCGGGCUUGAGGGAGAUAGAGGUGAGCGGAACUUAAGGUGGAGCGGUGAAAUGCGUUGAUAUCUUAAGGAACACCCGUGGCGAAAGCGGCUCACUGGAUCUCUUCUGACGCUCAGGCACGAAAGCUAGGGGAGCGAACGGG